rnacentral:rRNA from 1 species
GACGAACGCUGGCGGCGUGCUUAACACAUGCUAGUCGAACGGAAAGGCCCUGCUUGCAGGGUACUCGAGUGGCGAACGGGUGAGUAACACGUGGGUGAUCUGCCCUGCACUUCGGGAUAAGCCUGGGAAACUGGGUCUAAUACCGGAUAGGAGCCAUUUUUAGUGUGAUGGUUGGAAAGUUUUUUCGGUGUAGGAUGAGCUCGCGGCCUAUCAGCUUGUUGGUGGGGUAAUGGCCUACCAAGGCGGCGACGGGUAGCCGGCCUGAGAGGGUGGACGGCCACAUUGGGACUGAGAUACGGCCCAGACUCCUACGGGAGGCAGCAGUGGGGAAUAUUGCACAAUGGGCGCAAGCCUGAUGCAGCGACGCCGCGUGGGGGAUGACGGCCUUCGGGUUGUAAACUCCUUUCGCUAGGGACGAAGCUUUUUGUGACGGUACCUAGAUAAGAAGCACCGGCUAACUACGUG